AUUUAAAUCUCUUAGCGAGGAACAAUUGGAGGGGCAAGUCUGGUGCCAGCAGCCUCGGUAAUUCCAGCUCCAAUAGCGUAUAUUAAAGUUGUUGCAGUUAAAAAGCUCGUAGUUGAAUUUCUGAUUAUGGAUGUAGCGGUUUCCGUUACAUUUGUAGUCAUCCACAUGAGAACCUUUUCUCGGCCUUCACUGGUCGGUUGGGGGAUCAUGUACUUUACUUUGAAAAAAUACAGAGUGUUUCAGGCAGGCGUUUGCAUGAAUACACAAGCAUGGAAUAAUGGAAUAGGACUAGGGUCCAUUUUAUUGGUUAUUGGACCAUAGUAAUGAUUAAUAGGGACAGUUGGGGGCAUUAGUAUUUAAUUGUCAGAGGUGAAAUUCUUGGAUUUAUUAAAGACUAACUUAAUGCG
rnacentral:rRNA from 1 species